UGGGAAUUUGGACAAUGGGCGAAAGCCUGAUCCAGCAAUGCCGCGUGUGUGAAGAAGGCCUUCGGGUUGUAAAGCACUUUUGUCCGGAAAGAAAUCCUUGGCUCUAAUACAGUCGGGGGAUGACGGUACCGGAAGAAUAAGCACCGGCUAACUACGUGCCAGCAGCCGCGGUAAUACGUAGGGUGCAAGCGUUAAUCGGAAUUACUGGGCGUAAAGCGUGCGCAGGCGGUUUGCUAAGACCGAUGUGAAAUCCCCGGGCUCAACCUGGGAACUGCAUUGGUGACUGGCAGGCUAGAGUAUGGCAGAGGGGGGUAGAAUUCCACGUGUAGCAGUGAAAUGCGUAGAGAUGUGGAGGAAUACCGAUGGCGAAGGCAGCCCCCUGGGCAAGUACUGACGCUCAUGCACGAAAGCGUGGGGAGCAAACNGGAUUAAUNCCCCUGGUAGUCCACGCCCUAAAANGAUGUCAACUAGUUGUUGGGGAUUCAUUUCCUUAGUAACGUAGCUAACGCGUGAAGUUGACC
rnacentral:rRNA from 1 species